CCUACGGGUGGCAGCAGUGAGGAAUAUUGGUCAAUGGGCGGGAGCCUGAACCAGCCAAGCCGCGUGUGGGAAGAAGGUACAGCGUAUCGUAAACCUCUUUUGUCAGGGCACAAAGGCGGUGACUAGUCCCCGGAUGAGGGUACCUGACGAAAAAGCAUCGGCUAACUCCGUGCCAGCAGACGCGGUAAUAGGGGGGAUGCGAGCGUUAUCCGGAUUUAUUGGGGUUAAAGGGUGGGCAGGCGGCCUGUUAAGUCAGCGGGAAAAGCCCGGGGCUCAACCCCGGCGAGCCGGUGAAACUGGCGGGCUGGAGUUGGAGAGAAGUACGCGGAAUGCGCGGUGUAGCGGUGAAAUGCUUAGAGA
rnacentral:rRNA from 1 species